AAAAAAAAGGAAUGUAAAAUAAAUAAUAAAUGGUUCAUGAAAACAAAGUACAAAGCACAAAUUUCUCAGAUUAAACUUUAUUAGAGGAGACUAUUCAAAAGAUUUGGUCUAGUAUUGGCGGCGUUGCCUUUGUCUCUUUCAUUAUUAAAUUUUGCAAACUUAAUCUUGUUUCACCCUUAAAUCAUGUGUUUGCCUAAUUUUAUUUUUUUUGGUUAUAUUGCUUCAAUCUGAUCCGAUUUUAUUGUCUACUUUUCUAUACAGGAGUCCAAAUCAGUUUUGAUGAUUUGUAUACUGAUGAAAAGAAUAAAUUUCAAAGAGUAGUGGAUUCUAGAGAGCUAAGCAGUUUGAUUGAGCCAUGGGAACCUUACUUUGGUUGUUGAAGCUUUCCGCUAAAACAAUAUAUAUCUCUGAGCCAAGAAGGAAUACAAACCCACAGUUUUAAUUGGAUCAUUGCAUUUGACACAUAUGAUCUAUGUAAGACCCCGAAUUUUUUUUAAAUAAAAAGGAAUUUCUUUUAUUUAUUAUUUUGAAAUAGUAAGGGUGAAUUUGAUUAAUGUGGUUAGUUAUGGGUAAAAUGCGCAAAUAUUUUAAAUAAGCAAGUGGUGAUAUAAUAUUCAUUAUUGUCGGGGAAUAUUCGUUUGGUCGUGGA
rnacentral:lncRNA from 1 species